UAACAAGGAUUCCCCUAGUAACUGCGAGUGAAACGGGAAAAGCUCAAAUUUAAAAUCUGACAGUCUUUGGCUGUUCGAGUUGUAAUCUGGAGAAGCGUCUUCCGUGCUGGACCGUGUACAAGUCUCCUGGAACGGAGCGUCAUAGAGGGUGAGAAUCCCGUCUUUGACACGGACUACCAGUGCUUUGUGAUGCGCUCUCAAAGAGUCGAGUUGUUUGGGAAUGCAGCUCCAAAUGGGUGGUAAACUCCAUCUAAAGCUAAAUAUUGGCGAGAGACCGAUAGCGAACAAGUACCGUGAGGGAAAGAUGAAAAGCACUUUGGAAAGAGAGUUAAACAGUACGUGAAAUUGCUGAAAGGGAAACGCUUGAAGUCAGUCGCGUUUGCUAGGACUCAGCCUUGCCUCGGCUUGGUGCAUUUCCUAGUGAACGGGCCAGCAUCACUUUUGGCUGCGGGAAAAAGGUCAGAGGAAUGUGGCACCUCCGGGUGUGUUAUAGCCUCGGGCUGUAUACCGUGGCUGGGAGUGAGGAACUCAGCACGCCUUAAUGGCGGGGCUUCGGCCACCUUCGUGCUUAGGAUGCUGGCGUAAUGGCUUUAAACGAC
rnacentral:rRNA from 1 species